UCGCUAUUGAAACAUAUACGAAAUGAUAAAAAGAAAAUUUAUACAAUAAAAAAGAAAAGAAAAUACAACUAAAAACUACAACAAAAUCAAACUAAACCGACCAAAGAGAUAUGGUAUAAAAUUGAAAUGCUUUUUUACACACAGUUAAGGUUUCAUUUCAUAUUUAAUGUUCUGGUUCUGUAUAAUUAAAAUAUGUCCGGUCUUCCUGCACUAGCAUCUAUUCGUUGUUUUGUAAUAAUCUAACGUUAUUCAUAUGUUUUGUUAAUUUCAAUUAUCGUGAUGUUCAGAACUAUAUAUGACAAUAUCUGUUUGAAGUUAUUUUCGUACUUUAUCUAUGAAUCGCAUUUCUGAGGUAUUAUUUUAUGAAACGUUCUUCUUUCGAUGAUACGAUAAUGUUUUGUAAUGGAAGUGUUGUGUGUAUAGUUGAUUAGAAAUUAGCAUGGCCAGUUGGAUGAUCAAAUCAAAUUGUUUGUUACCCGUUUGUUUGUUUUGUUCAUGCAUCGUUGACAAUGUAAUGGAAUUUGAUGCGACUGUCAUACAAGUGAGAGGUUUAGCUAGCUAUAAAACCAGGUUCAAUCCACCAUUUUCUACAUUAGGAAAUGCCUGUUCCAAGUCAGGAAUAUGACAGUUGUUAUCCAUUCGUUUGAUGUGUUUGGACUUUUGAUUUUGCCUUUUGAUUUUUGAUUUUCCUUUUUGAAUUUUCCUCGGAGUUCAGUAUUUUUGUGUUUUUACUUUUUACUACAACCAAGUCGAUGUCAAGUUUCUUCCUAGAAGAAACUUUACUGCUGGUGGAUUUUUCCCCGAGGGCAUCAUUAACUUGGUAGCUUUAUGCAUGAUGAAUACAAAUAAUACUAAGAACAAACCGGCUGGGACGUCGCCCGGGUUACCAAGGUCCCCUUUUGCUACACGGAACACUGUAGCAUUUGAUUUGUGUGUUCCACGGAAUAUCCUCCGGGAUACCCCUGAUUUGACGUACGUUCAGCCAGAAGGUAAUUACUACUUUAAAAAUUCAGAUACUUUUAAUAAAUUAAAGCCAUGUUCCGUUAAUAUUUUCGACUGUUUGAAUACACCUGCUACAAGUGAAUCAACACCUAUCAUUUCUUCUUGUAAACACAAAAAAGGAAAAAGGAGCACGUGUAAGACAUGUGAUAUGUUAAUCACGACUCCUGAUUUCACCAGUAACUUAACAGGAAAAACGUAUUAUACUAAAUCUUUCGAACCUCUGGACUGUUCCACGGACAAUGUAGUGUAUGGAAUCGAAUGUACUUUGUGUGGACUACUUUAUGUUGGUGAAACUCGACAAACUUUACGUAAAAGGAUGAAUCAACACCGGUCUGGUAAUAAAAAUCCGCAAUUCAGGGUUCUUUAUAACCACUUUAAUCAACCGGAUCAUGAUCCUUCGUUAUCUAUGAAAGUACGC
rnacentral:lncRNA from 1 species